AUAAAGCCAAUCAUAUCUCAUUUCUUUAUUUCCUGGGAUGUUUUGGAAAUACAUAUUUUUUUAAGUUGUUAAUUGUGUGGAAAAAUUGCAAGUUAUAACUUUUUAGAAAAGCAAAUUGAUAUAUCUAAGCAAAAAAAUCUGAUGAUAGAUUUUUUUGGGUUAGAUAUAACCAAAGAAAAAGGGAAAACAAAUAUACUAUCCAUUCCAGAUUACCUUUAUUUGGAUGGACUAAUUGUCUUCAUUCCAUGACUCCAUAGGCAUAAUAAAGAUCAAUUAGGUGUUCAGAAUGGGGUUAACUAUCUGGAAGGAAAUGGUGCAAUCUAAAGCCUACAGCUGGAAAACUUGAGGAUUAAAAACUAAAUUGAUUAAUACUGGAUCACACUACUGCCCAGUGAUGAAAGACUACUAGGUAGAACUUAUGGAACGCAAUUUUCUUUUUGGAAAAUGAUAUCUUAAUUGUAAUGGCGUUCCACUUGGUAAAAAUGCAGUUCACUGAGAACAUACAUGGGUUUAGAAAGAGGCCGAACCUCUGUAGCUUAGUGGUUUGGCACUUCUGAUGCACAUUUUGGGAGCGGUUUGAAAUUAGAAUGUAAAGUCAGAACAGCAUGACUUCAGCUCAUGUACUGUUUGCCCUUGACUCUGCUCCACAACCUGCCAGUAACGAUAGGGCUUUGACAAGGGCAACUGCCUUAUGCCCAUUUUAUUUACAGUUUUCAUAGCUAAUGAAUAAUAAGACAUAUGUCCACUAGGAUCUGAUUGUUUACCUCUCUAAUAGCAAUUUACAGAUGGUGCAUGCUGUGGCCGUUUCAGACCAUGUCCUAUAAUAGCAUUUGAUAGUUUACAAAACAAACAUUUAUUGAAGAUCAAGAUGUAAUUUUAUUAUAAGAAGAAAGUUCCUUUCAUGGGAUGGAUGCAGCAAUAAAAAAAGGUUAAAGAGAUUUCCCAUUCUUUCCUUAAAAAAAAAAAAGCCUAUUUAUCCUUUGUCAUCUUGUACUCAUAGUCAUUCAUUCUUUAAGUCAAUGGAGUGCAUAAUAUUAAGUGUCCAUUAAACUUAUAUUGUUUCCUUUUUAGUCUGUUGAUUUGAUAAAUCAUAAGAUUAUCUUUUGUAAUCAUUAAUAAAAUAUUUUUAUUAGUAAAGCUGGUACAAUAUAAUUUUUUAAAUUAUUAGUCAGGCUUUGGAGGCAGUCUUAGGUUAAAACCCCAUGAGUUUGGUUAGCUGUGACAAACAUGUCUAUAUGUCUAGCCAUCAUCAUUUAAUAUGAUCUCUUGUUAUUUACCCAAAAGAGUAACUGCAUGCUGAGUGACCCUGUGUGAACAGUCAGUAUGUCUGAGCCUCAGUUGUCAUACCUAUAUAACAGAAGUGAUAACACUGAUAGUUGUGAAGAUUGUUAUAAUUACAUGUAUGUUUAAGCCCCCUAUAUAUUUGGAAUAUAGAGGGGCUCAGUUUCUUUAAACAUUAUGAUCGCUCAGUUACUUAAUGUUAUUAUCUAUAUUAUCAUUAUUGUGAUCACUGUAUGGACUCAAGCCUCCCAUGAUUCCUUGCCUCCGUGCUGUUUUCUCUGUCUCUGUUUUCACUACUGGCCACCUUACAAUAUUCUAGAAUAAAACAUUUUCACACUUGA